rnacentral:misc_RNA from 1 species
AAUAAAGACACCAAAUCCCUGUAACAUGGUCCUGCAGGAAACUACUUAGUUAACAUAAAAGGACCAAUGAAUACAUAUGCUGAAAUAAAGUGAUCUGACUUUAAAAUUUAAUAAUAACCAUCCUGGAGAAUAAUGGAGUUAAGACAAAGAAAAGUUGAGACCAAAUACUUUUAAGUACAAAAUUCAAGUAAUAAAUCAAUAAAU